rnacentral:rRNA from 1 species
AAACCUUACUAGGGUAAGACAUUAUUAUGAUUGACAAAUUACUUGAUUUUUCUUGAUUUAAUGGGUGGUGGUGCAUGGCCGAUCUUAGUUGGUGGGGUGACUUGUCUGGUUAAUUCCGAUAACGAACGAGAUCCGAGCAGUUUUGUUGCUUGAAAUUAUAUGAUAUAAUUUUUAGUUCCUAAAUGGACCAUCAGAAUAAUCUGAAGGAAAUGACGGGCUAAAU